UACGUAGGAUGCAAGCGUUGUCCGGAUUUACUGGGCGUAAAGCGCGCGCAGGCGGCACUCUAAGUACGUCGUGAAAUAUCCCGGCUCAACCGGGAGGGUGCGAUGUAGACUAGGGAGCUAGAGGUCGGUAGAGGGGGGUGGAAUUGCUGGUGUAGCGGUGAAAUGCGUAGAGAUCAGCAGGAACACCCGUGGCGAAGGCGGCCCCCUGGGCCGUACCUGACGCUGAGGCGCGAAGGCUAGGGGAGCGAAC
rnacentral:rRNA from 1 species